rnacentral:rRNA from 1 species
GACGAACCGAGCGAACGUUGUUCGGAAUCACUGGGCUUAAAGGGCGCGUAGGCGGGCUGCGGCGUCCGGGGUGAAAUCCUCCCGCCCAACGGGAGAACGGCCUCGGAUACGGGCGGCCUGGAGGGGGGUAGGGGCGGGCGGAACUGUGGGUGGAGCGGUGAAAUGCGUUGAGAUCCACAGGAACUCCGGUGGCGAAGGCGGCCCGCUGGACCACACCUGACGCUGAGGCGCGAAAGCCAGGGGAGCGAACGGG